UUGAAGAUUCCCGCAAACCCUCCCCUCCUCCCCACACAGCCACUACCUCUUCCUCCACCUCCUCCUCCCUACUUCACCUCCUCGACCGCUCCCACCCUAACCCCACCGCCAAAGUCCAACGCAUCGGCCUCUCCCCCUAAUGGAAGUCGAAGUAAAACUCCGCCUCCGAGACGCCACCGCUUACCGUCAGCUAACCACCAUCCUGUCUCCUUUCCUCUCCCAAACCCUUCACCAACAAAACCUCUUCUUUGACACCUCGACAAAUACCCUUUCCUCUCAACUUUCUGUUCUUCGCCUCCGCUUCCUCAACAAUGAUGCCCGCUGCAUCGUUUCCCUCAAAUCCAAACCCACUCUGGUAGACGGUGUCAGCCGCGUGGAGGAAGAUGAGGAGGAACUAGACCCGUGUAUCGCACGCGCUUGCGUGGAGGACCCGGUGAGGUUGGGGAAGAUUGAGUCGAGGGUUUUGAAGAGGGUGAAAGAUGAGUUUGGGGUUGGGGAAGAAAUGGGGUUAGCUUGUUUAGGUGGGUUUGAGAAUAAAAGAGAGGUUUUUGAUUGGAAAAAUUUGAAGCUUGAAGUGGACGAGACUAAGUAUGAAUUUGGGAUUUGUUACGAGGUCGAAUGUGAGAGUGGGGAUCCUGAUGGAGUUAAGAAAUUGCUUGAGGAGUUCUUGAAGGAAAAUGGGAUUGGAUAUUCUUACUCUAAGAUGACAAAGUUUGCUGUUUUUAGGUCUGGGAAGCUGCCUUAGCAAAGAGUCCAUUUGGCCAUGCAAAGUUGCAAAUUUGUAAUUUAGGAGCCAUAAACUCAUCUGUGAUGGGACAUGAAGAGCUGGCUAAGCUUGUCAAUGUUUAAGCAAUGUCAAAUCUGUUUAGGUUGUCAUGCAGAAUGAUUAUGAAUGUUGACCCAUGUCAAAGAGACCAUGCAAGCAAUGGCGGAGGAGCAAAAUUUACCAUCUUCCUUUGGAAGAGAACAAAUAAUUUUUCCUUUCAUAGCAUGAUUCUGAGAACUUAUAUCAUUAGCAAUGAACGUGAUUAUAAUUGCAUGUUAAUACUCUUUGACAAGUUUGCAUAACUUAUUUAAGAAGUUUGCUCUCU